AUUGAACGCUGGCGGCAGGCCUAACACAUGCAAGUCGAGCGGGGUUUUCGGACCUAGCGGCGGACGGGUGAGUAAUGCGUAGGAAGCUACCCGAUAGAGGGGGAUACCAGUUGGAAACGACUGUUAAUACCGCAUAAUGUCUACGGACCAAAGUGUGGGACCUUCGGGCCACAUGCUAUCGGAUGCGCCUACGUGGGAUUAGCUAGUUGGUGGGGUAAUGGCUCACCAAGGCGACGAUCCCUAGCUGGUUUGAGAGGAUGAUCAGCCACACUGGAACUGAGACACGGUCCAGACUCCUACGGGAGGCAGCAGUGGGGAAUAUUGGACAAUGGGCGCAAGCCUGAUCCAGCCAUGCCGCGUGUGUGAAGAAGGCCUUCGGGUUGUAAAGCACUUUCAGUAGGGAGGAAGGGUGUUGUGUUAAUAGCACAGCAUUUUGACGUUACCUGCAGAAGAAGCACCGGCUAACUCUGUGCCAGCAGCCGCCGUAAGAC
rnacentral:rRNA from 1 species